CAGAGGGGGAUACCAGUUGGAAACGACUGUUAAUACCGCAUAAUGUCUACGGACCAAAGUGUGGGACCUUCGGGCCACAUGCUGUCGGAUGCGCCUACGUGGGAUUAGCUAGUUGGUGAGGUAAUGGCUCACCAAGGCGACGAUCCCUAGCUGGUUUGAGAGGAUGAUCAGCCACACUGGAACUGAGACACGGUCCAGACUCCUACGGGAGGCAGCAGUGGGGAAUAUUGGACAAUGGGCGAAAGCCUGAUCCAGCCAUGCCGCGUGUGUGAAGAAGGCCUUCGGGUUGUAAAGCACUUUCAGUAGGGAGGAAGAGUUGAGUGUUAAUAGUACUCAGCUUUGACGUUACCUACAGAAGAAGCACCGGCUAACUCUGUGCCAGCAGCCGCGGUAAUACAGAGGGUGCAAGCGUUAAUCGGAAUUACUGGGCGUAAAGCGCACGCAGGCGGUUGGUUAAGUCAGAUGUGAAAGCCCCGGGCUCAACCUGGGAAUUGCAUUUGAAACUGGCCAACUAGAGUACGUGAGAGGGGGGUAGAAUUCCAAGUGUAGCGGUGAAAUGCGUAGAG
rnacentral:rRNA from 1 species